CUCUCUCUCUCUCUGUUACCACCAACAUUAUAUAUAAUAUAUAUAAAGAGAGAAUGUUCUAUAUAUAGUUUGCAAUAGCUAUGGACACUAUUCUAAAGGCAGAGACCUAACCGCUAAUCCCUCCUGCGACCCUCCAAAUUGAUCAGCCUUUUCAUACUGGCCAUAGGAGGAAUUAUCGGCCAGUUAAAACGCUAAUCCUUCUGCGGCCAGUAUGAAAAGUCCUACGGCUAAGAUGGAGAAGUCUUGCCGCCAGUAUUUGAGGGCAUAUUUGUACUUCACUUAGCCAUAUGAGGGAGUUGCACUGGCCGCAAGAGUGGCUAGCUGUUGAGCUCCUGCCUUGUUCAUUUUAGUCCCAUUCUAGUCCCUCAGAUCUUACAUUAGACGACAGAUAAGCUACUUAAAAUAAUGCUCAUAACUAUAGCUAAUGCAAGCUAUGAAACAUUCUCCUCUCUC
rnacentral:lncRNA from 1 species